GAGUUUGAUCAUGGCUCAGAUUGAACGCUGGCGGCAGGCCUAACACAUGCAAGUCGAACGGUAACAGGAAACAGCUUGCUGCUUCGCUGACGAGUGGCGGACGGGUGAGUAAUGUCUGGGAAGCUGCCUGAUGGAGGGGGAUAACUACUGGAAACGGUAGCUAAUACCGCAUAAUGUCGCAAGACCAAAGAGGGGGACCUUCGGGCCUCUUGCCAUCGGAUGUGCCCAGAUGGGAUUAGCUUGUUGGUGGGGUAACGGCUCACCAAGGCGACGAUCCCUAGCUGGUCUGAGAGGAUGACCAGCCACACUGGAACUGAGACACGGUCCAGACUCCUACGGGAGGCAGCAGUGGGGAAUAUUGCACAAUGGGCGCAAGCCUGAUGCAGCCAUGCCGCGUGUAUGAAGAAGGCCUUCGGGUUGUAAAGUACUUUCAGCGGGGAGGAAGGGAGUAAAGUUAAUACCUUUGCUCAUUGACGUUACCCGCAGAAGAAGCACCGGCUAACUCCGUGCCAGCAGCCGCGGUAAUACGGAGGGUGCAAGCGUUAAUCGGAAUUACUGGGCGUAAAGCGCACGCAGGCGGUUUGUUAAGUCAGAUGUGAAAUCCCCGGGCUCAACCUGGGAACUGCAUCUGAUACUGGCAAGCUUGAGUCUCGUAGAGGGGGGUAGAAUUCCAGGUGUAGCGGUGAAAUGCGUAGAGAUCUGGAGGAAUACCGGUGGCGAAGGCGGCCCCCUGGACGAAGACUGACGCUCAGGUGCGAAAGCGUGGGGAGCAAACAGGAUUAGAUACCCUGGUAGUCCACGCCGUAAACGAUGUCGACUUGGAGGUUGUGCCCUUGAGGCGUGGCUUCCGGAGCUAACGCGUUAAGUCGACCGCCUGGGGAGUACGGCCGCAAGGUUAAAACUCAAAUGAAUUGACGGGGGCCCGCACAAGCGGUGGAGCAUGUGGUUUAAUUCGAUGCAACGCGAAGAACCUUACCUGGUCUUGACAUCCACGGAAGUUUUCAGAGAUGAGAAUGUGCCUUCGGGAACCGUGAGACAGGUGCUGCAUGGCUGUCGUCAGCUCGUGUUGUGAAUGUUGGGUUAAGUCCCGCAACGAGCGCAACCCUUAUCCUUUGUUGCCAGCGGUCCGGCCGGGAACUCAAAGGAGACUGCCAGUGAUAAACUGGAGGAAGGUGGGGAUGACGUCAAGUCAUCAUGGCCCUUACGACCAGGGCUACACACGUGCUACAAUGGCGCAUACAAAGAGAAGCGACCUCGCGAGAGCAAGCGGACCUCAUAAAGUGCGUCGUAGUCCGGAUUGGAGUCUGCAACUCGACUCCAUGAAGUCGGAAUCGCUAGUAAUCGUGGAUCAGAAUGCCACGGUGAAUACGUUCCCGGGCCUUGUACACACCGCCCGUCACACCAUGGGAGUGGGUUGCAAAAGAAGUAGGUAGCUUAACCUUCGGGAGGGCGCUUACCACUUUGUGAUUCAUGACUGGGGUGAAGUCGUAACAAGGUA
rnacentral:rRNA from 1 species